rnacentral:rRNA from 1 species
CCUACGGGAGGCAGCAGUGGGGAAUAUUGCACAAUGGGCGCAAGCCUGAUGCAGCCAUGCCGCGUGUGUGAAGAAGGCCUUCGGGUUGUAAAGCACUUUCAGCGGGGAGGAAGGCGUUAAGGUUAAUAGCUUUGGCGAUUGACGUUACCCGCAGAAGAAGCACCGGCUAACUCCGUGCCAGCAGCCGCGGUAAUACGGAGGGUGCAAGCGUUAAUCGGAAUUACUGGGCGUAAAGCGCACGCAGGCGGUCUGUCAAGUCGGAUGUGAAAUCCCCGGGCUCAACCUGGGAACUGCAUUCGAAACUGGCAGGCUAGAGUCUUGUAGAGGGGGGUAGAAUUCCAGGUGUAGCGGUGAAAUGCGUAGAGAUCUGGAGGAAUACCGGUGGCGAAGGCGGCCCCCUGGACAAAGACUGACGCUCAGGUGCGAAAGCGUGGGGAGCAAACAGGAUUAGAUACCCCAGUAGUC